rnacentral:rRNA from 1 species
UUUAUUGGAGAGUUUGAUCCUGGCUCAGGAUGAACGCUGGCGGCGUGCCUAAUACAUGCAAGUCGAGCGAAUGGAUUGAGAGCUUGCUCUCAAGAAGUUAGCGGCGGACGGGUGAGUAACACGUGGGUAACCUGCCCAUAAGACUGGGAUAACUCCGGGAAACCGGGGCUAAUACCGGAUAACAUUUUGAACUGCAUGGUUCGAAAUUGAAAGGCGGCUUCGGCUGUCACUUAUGGAUGGACCCGCGUCGCAUUAGCU